GCCUGGGUGGCUCAGUCGGUUAAGUGUCUGACUUCAGCUCAGAUCAUGAUCUCACGGUUCAUGAAUUUGAGCCUCACCUCGGGCU
rnacentral:tRNA from 1 species